UUUAUGUCCACUAGUAUUUAUAGAAACUAACCUUAGAAAGAAACUCUUAACACAAUCACUCUGUCUCUCUCUCUCUUCCUCGGCCGCACACUUAAUUCUCUCCUCCCUCCUUUCCACUUCUCUCUGCCAUCAUCGGAGACCACCACUUCCGGCCACCAAUUCACAACACCGCUACCGCCAAUCAAUUCUGGACCCAAUUCCGAUCAAAACCCAAGAAGAUCACUGCCAUCCACCGCCGCCAGCCUCAUCACGCGACCAUCAAAGUCGCGACGGCGCUGCUCCAUAGCUCUCAUCAAGUUUCCGCCAUUUCCUCAACACCCCCCAUCAGCGUGCGCAGAGCAAGCCGGACAUCAAAAUACAGAAGCCUCGCCGCCGGCCGUACCUCGAAGGACCCCGCACGUUCCAUCGCCGGAAUCCUAGGACCCUGGGUUUCUCCGGUCUUCCUUCUCCAAAUCGAAUCGAGCUCCAAUAUCUCCAAGAAUGGAGUCAGUGCCUCUCCUUUUAUGAAAACCAAGGGCCCGACUUCUGAUUUCAACCAGAGCCACCGCGGACGCCGCGGGAUUAUCCCCUUCGUUCUGGAAAUUGAAAUGUAAAGGGGAGCUUCUGGUCUUGAUUUCGAUUGAUUUUUAAAGGGAUGAUGAGGAACUAAGGAGGACUGCAUGAAGCAGCAGGUCAUUGAGACUAUUGUCUCCGCAGAAAUGGUGCAAGUCUUUCUUAUGUUUAAAUAUCUGCAAAAGGAACUGCCAGAAAAGAAGAUGGGUAUUCCUAAUCCAGUAGCGAUCAAGCAGGUUCAAUUGACAAUGGAGGAACGUAGAGUUUGAACAACCCAUUUCAAAUAUGUACUGGUUACCUCUAUUAAUGUUAGGUUCUCCAUAACUAGUUACAAAAGAAAAGGAGUCAUUUUCGCUGACAAGUAUUUGCCAAUAUAGGGUGAGUGGUUUUAUUCCCCAGUUCAUUGCUUCAUUGACAUGUAGCUGUUGGUUAUUUGGUGGUUUUUUUUUCUCAUGGUGCAGGUCGGGCUUUUUCCUCAGUGGACAUAUACGAUUUUGCUAGUUCAUACCAACUUGCUGUGGUUCAAUUUGAGAGUAGCUCCAUUUGUUCUCUGCUAUGUUGGAGAUAUUCAUUAAAUCAUGUCUAAUUGAAAAUUGAAGUAAAAAACCAUGAUGAAAACAAUAUGACCUGUGCCAAGGUUCAAGAUAGUUUUCAUUUUCAUUAAUGGUUUGAUUAUUUUCAUUAUAUUGUGUUGGCAAAAGGAGAGUCACAGACUGUUCUUAGUUGGCGAAAUGUGUAAUGAGUGUUAUCUUUCAUUUGGUUGUAGCUAGGUUUAACCUAUUAGGUUAGUACCCUGAGGACCUGAGGUUCUAUAUUCUAGGUGAUUGAUUGUUCUGUGAUGGUAAAAUUCUUACAAGCUAUUCAUUAUUUUAUUUAUUUUUCUAUUUGCUGUUGAAUGAAUCAUCAGCUGAGCAAGCUCAGCGUGGUA